UUACUACUCCCUCCGUCCCACAAUUCUUGUCUUAGAUUUGUUUAAAUACGGAUGUAUCUAAUACUAAAAUGUGACUUGAUACAUCCGUAUUUAGACAAAUCUAAAACAAGAAUUUUGAGACGGAGGGAGUAGUAA
rnacentral:pre_miRNA from 1 species